AGUGAACGCUGGCGGUAGGCCUAACACAUGCAAGUCUAACGGCAGCACAGUAAGAGCUUGCUCUUACUGGUGGCGAGUGGCGGACGGGUGAGGAAUACAUCGGAAUCUACUUUUUCGUUGGGUAUAACGUAGGGAAACUUACGCUAAUACCGCAUACGACCUACGGGUGAAAGCAGGGGAUCUUCGGACCUUGCGCGAUUGAAUGAGCCGCUGUCGGAUUAGCUAGUUGGCGGGGUAAAGGCCCACCAAGGCGACGAUCCGUAGCUGGUCUGAGAGGAUGAUGAGACACACUGGAACUGAGACACGGUACAGACUCCUAAGGGAGGCAGCAGUGGGGAAUAUUGGACAAUGGGCGCAAGCAUGAUCCAGCCAUACCGCGUGGGUGAAGAAGGCCUUCGGGUUGUAAAGAACUUUUGUUGGGAAAGAAAAGCAGCAGGUUAAUACCCCGAUGUUCUGAAGGUACCCAAAGAAUAAGCACCGGCUAACUUAGUG
rnacentral:rRNA from 1 species